rnacentral:lncRNA from 1 species
GCUGUUUUUGGUUAUUAUCUUGAAUAUUAUUAUAGAUAGAGAUAAACUGUAAACAGCAAUAAUGUUCAGCAAAGUAAGAUUUACAAAUAAGUCAAACACGACCGAAAUGGUCAGUUGACCCCUUUAGGAGUUAUUGCCCUUUAUAGUCAAUUUUUAACCAUUUUUCGUAAAUCUUAGUAAUCCUUUACAAAAAUCUUCUCCUCUGAAACUACUAGGCCAAAUUAAUCCAAACUUGGCCACAAUCAUCUUUGGGGUAUCUAGUUUUAAAAAUGUGUGGCGUGACCCUGCCAUCCAACCAAGAUGGCCGCCACGGCUAAAAAUAGAAC